rnacentral:rRNA from 1 species
CAGCCGCCACGGGAAUACGUAGGGUGCAAGCGUUAUCCGGAAUUAUUGGGCGUAAAGAGCUCGUAGGCGGUCUGUCGCGUCUGCUGUGAAAACUGGGGGCUCAACCCCCAGCCUGCAGUGGGUACGGGCAGACUAGAGUGCGGUAGGGGAGAUUGGAAUUCCUGGUGUAGCGGUGGAAUGCGCAGAUAUCAGGAGGAACACCGAUGGCGAAGGCAGAUCUCUGGGCCGUAACUGACGCUGAGGAGCGAAAGCAUGGGGAGCGAACAGGAUUAGAUACCCGCGUAGUCCCUGUCUCUUAUAC